AAAAAAUCAAUGAAACAAUAUAAAUUAAUUAAUCAUAGAAUAAAAGAGUGACAUCUCUAUGAAUAUGGCUACUGGAAAUAUAUCUGAUAUUCCAGAUAAAUAUUGGCAUCCAUCAUUUGUAGCAUUUAAGAUGAUAUCGAUUUGGUAAUAGUACAAUAUUUUUGAGUGAACUAUAUAUAUACAUAUAUAUGUUGAAUAUUAUACUGUCGACCAUGAGAUUUAUUUAAAAUUAUUCUUGUUUUUCGAAUGAUAAUGAUUCUAUUGAAAUUGCAAAAAAUAAUAUAUUUAUUUCUGGAGAAUUCAUAAUGAUCUGAAACAUAUUGAUUAAGCCGCAUAAUCGCAGAAUGGUACAGCCAAACGAUCAAGAGGCAUAGAGACAUAUUAUGAUCCACGAUGAGCAGCUACAAACAAAGAACAAUAUACAUGUUAUUCUGCUGAUGAUAUUCGAUAUCCAAAAGUUCCUUAGAAAAAGAAUGAUAGAGACCGUUCUGUGUUCUCUUAUUAUCAUUUUUGAAAAGGUAAAGAUGAGCAGAAGUAGGAUUGCCGGACAAUAAAUAAUCAAUUCUUCUUCGACGAAUUUUACAUAGAAAAUAUGUAAUCAUCACAUUAUAUUGCUAUAUUAUAUUGCUAUAUUAUAUAUAUUGCUGUUGUAUUAGACAAAAGAAUGUCACGUAUUAUGAUGUUUUGUUUUGGAUCAUAUAGUAUAUCUGUCUAAUGUACUAUUCAAUAUUAAAAAAAUAUCUCUUAUAAAAUAUAUCUUGAAAUAAUAUAAAAGCAAAAAAAGUUCUUUAAAGUUGU